UACAGAGGGGGCAAGCGUUGUUCGGAAUUACUGGGCGUAAAGGGCGCGUAGGCGGCCUGUUAAGUCGAACGUGAAAUCCCCGGGCUCAACCCGGGAACUGCGUCCGAUACUGGCAGGCUUGAAUCCGGGAGAGGGAUGUGGAAUUCCAGGUGUAGCGGUGAAAUGCGUAGAUAUCUGGAGGAACACCGGUGGCGAAGGCGGCAUCCUGGACCGGUAUUGACGCUGAGGCACGAAAGCGUGGGGAGCAAACAGG
rnacentral:rRNA from 1 species